GAUGUUGGGUUAAGUCCCGCAACGAGCGCAACCCUUGUCAUUAGUUGCCAUCAUUCAGUUGGGCACUCUAAUGAGACUGCCGGUGACAAGCCGGAGGAAGGUGGGGAUGACGUCAAGUCCUCAUGGCCCUUAUGACCAGGGCUUCACACGUCAUACAAUGGUCGGUACAGAGGGUAGCCAAGCCGCGAGGCGGAGCCAAUCUCACAAAACCGAUCGUAGUCCGGAUUGCACUCUGCAACUCGAGUGCAUGAAGUCGGAAUCGCUAGUAAUCGCAGGUCAGCAUACUGCGGUGAAUACGUUCCCGGGUCUUGUACACACCGCCCGUCACACCAUGGGAGUGGGGGAUACCAGAAGUAGGUAGGGUAACCGCAAGGAGUCCGCUUACCACGGUAUGCUUCAUGACUGGGGUGAAGUCGUAACAAGGUAGCCGUAGGGGAACCUGCGGCUGGAUCACCUCCUUUCUAG
rnacentral:rRNA from 1 species